UCACCAAGGCAGAAGCAGAUGUCAAUUAAAUAUCAACUUGCAGCUGUCAAUAAAUAUCAAUUUGCAGAUAUCAAGUUGGUAAAAGAUAUUUGAGUAACAGUAUCAAAGCACAAAAGCCUUGUCUUCAGACAACUCUCCAAGGUGAUGAACACCUGAAUAUUCUAUCAUCUCCCUCAAUGUCACAACAGUAUUGCCAAAGUGUGAACUACAAUACUUGAGAACUGCAGGCAUGAUUUAUUCACAGGUACCAUUCAAGAAACGAAAAGGGUCUAUAGCAAAAGGCUCAAGCUUUGCCAGAAAGCUAAAAUAAGACAA
rnacentral:lncRNA from 1 species